CAGGAAUGUCCUCAGGAAGCAGCAGGCUGAGAGCUGCUGGAGAAAUGAAAAGACCUGGCAGGUUAACAAAACACCAGCUGAACACUGUGGCUUCCCCUGGCAAUGCGGAGGCAAUAUUCUGGCAUGGCCCCAUCUUUCCUUCCCACCCACUCAGGGACAUACUUUCAGGAGGCACCGCAGCAUUCAGAGGGAAGGGGAGACUGUCAAAAAACCACUCCCUUCCCCACUCCCAUGGCAGCAAAGCAGUAUUCUGGGAUUCAGCACACUACUUCCAGCGCUAGUUUUACCAGUGAAUUCUGGGAUUCAGCACACUACAUCCAGUGCUAGUCUGGUUGUCUGACACUGAAUACCACAUAUGUGUCAUCUGAGAUCUAAGCUUUGUAAAAAAGAUGGUCUGAAGAAGCUAUUCAUUCGCCAAGCCCAGGUACUCAAACUGAAGACUUCAGAAAUAAAAACCAAAAAGAAUGAGAUUAUAUUUCCUCAUUAAAUUCAUAUUUAUUUUUUGUUUAUUCA